rnacentral:rRNA from 1 species
UACGUAGGGGGCGAGCGUUGUUCGGAUUUACUGGGCGUAAAGAGCGCGUAGGCGGCCGGAUAAGUCCGUUGUGAAAUCCCCCGGCUCAACCGGGGACCCGCUUCGGAAACUGUCCGGCUUGAGUCGCGGAGAGGAGAGCGGAAUUCCCAGUGUAGCGGUGAAAUGCGUAGAUAUUGGGAGGAACACCGGUGGCGAAGGCGGCUCUCUGGACGCGUACUGACGCUGAGGCGCGAAAGCUAGGGGAGC